UUAAACUGAAGAGUUUGAUCAUGGCUCAGAUUGAACGCUGGCGGCA
rnacentral:rRNA from 3 species